rnacentral:rRNA from 1 species
AUUGAACGCUGGCGGCAGGCCUAACACAUGCAAGUCGAGCGGCAGCGGGAAAGUAGCUUGCUACUUUUGCCGGCGAGCGACGGACGGGUGAGUAAUGCCUGGGAAAUUGCCCAGUCGAGGGGGAUAACAGUUGGAAGCGACUGCUAAUACCGCAUACGCCCUACGGGGGAAAGCAGGGGACCUUCGGGCCUUGCGCGAUUGGAUAUGCCCAGGUGGGAUUAGCUAGUUGGUGAGGUAAUGGCUCACCAAGGCGACGAUCCCUAGCUGGUCUGAGAGGAUGAUCAGCCACACUGGAACUGGGACACGGUCCAGACUCCUACGGGAGGCAGCAGUGGGGAAUAUUGCACAAUGGGGGAAACCCUGAUGCAGCCAUGCCGCGUGUGUGAAGAAGGCCUUCGGGUUGUAAAGCACUUUCAGCGAGGAGGAAAGGUUGAUGCCUAAUACGUAUCAACUGUGACGUUACUCGCAGAAGAAGCACCGGCUAACUCCGUGCCAGCCGCCGCGGUAAUAC